CAGUCACGUCCCCUUAUCACUUUUCCAGCCCAGCUUUGUGACUGUAAGUGUUGGACGGAGAACUGAUAAGGGUAGGUGACUG
rnacentral:pre_miRNA from 1 species